GACAGAGGUGCCGAGCGUUAGGCGGAAUCACUGGGCUUAAAGCGUGUGUAGGCGGGUCCGUAAGUACCUUGUGAAAUCCCACGGCUCAACCGUGGAACUGCUUGGUAUACUGCGGGUCUUGAGCCACUUAGGGGCAAGCGGAACAAACGGUGGAGCAGUGAAAUGCGUAGAUAUCGUUUGGAACGCCAAUGGUGAAAACAGCUUGCUGGGAGUGUGCUGACGCUGAGACACGAAAGCCAGGGGAGCAAACGGG
rnacentral:rRNA from 1 species